GAUAGAAAAACUUUGCAUUAUUAUCCAUUUGUUAGUAAAGAGUAUUCUAGUUCAUCUAGUUGAGAUGGUGAUGGUGGUUCAUUCUUAUUAUCCUUUGAUUAUAUAUGUUGGAAAUGUGGAUGGUCUUCAUGGUUGAUUAGUAAUUUAGUAUUACACACUGAACAUUAUUAAUGACUAUUUGACCUUUUUAUUUUUAAAAAAAAUAGUUGAGCACCUGAAUCUUUCAAGAUUAGCUUAUUGAAUGCACUUAGUUUGCUUUUGAAGUUCCAGUUAUUAUAUUUAGUAUUGACAUGUCGCAGUCAAAAAAAGUGUCACUAAGAAAGUUGUGAAUGCUUCUUUUCUUUUUAUUCUUUUUUUUUUAUGUUAUCAUUUCAAUAGCUGGAAGGGUCAGAUAUAUUUGUGAAGGGACAGAGGCAGCAUUGGUAUUGUUCAUAUGACAUUCUGGAUAUGUUUAAGCCUGAAUUUGUGCUUCUGUCUAAAUUCAUAUCACAGAUAACUGAACAUUGUUAAGGAGCAUUUUGUUUUUUCUUAUUCCACAUUUGACCUCAGGAGGAGGAACAGAAUCUUAGUAAGUGCUGAGAACAUUGUGACAACAUGUGUACCGGAUUCUCUGACUGACCAAGUACAUUGUUGCUAGCUAUAAAGGAAGAGAAUGAAUGCACGAGAGAUUAAGCCUCCAAGUCGUAUGCCCUAAAAGAAGUGGUGGAAUGACAAAGCAGCAGAUCAGAUUACUCGGUGAAAAGUUGUUCAUCCAGUGUUGCAAGACAUUGUAGCUGCAAAGAGGACAAUAAACAGCAGUGAAGUUUCAUGGCAAAUCUAUUGUGCAUGUUUUAAGCUAAGGAAUUGAAGUGAAGCGGUUGUGGCAGGAAUACAGAAGUAUUACCCAUUGUGCCCAGAAGUCCUAAAUGGAACUUAAACCGACAAAAAGAAGUAUAUUCGUGUCUGUCUAUAUAUUGAUGGAAGCAAGUUGUUGGUUCAUAAGAUGGAGGGAGUGUUGUCAAGAACCCAAAGCAUUUAUACAGGCUGGGAUGCCUUAACCUCAGUGGAAUGUAAUGACAUUCUGUUGACAUGAUCAUACUGCACACACUAUUGCAAUCUAGUGCUUUUUUCCCCUUUUGACCUAUUCCAUGUCAACAUUAUUUGCAGCUUUAUGUAGUGGAAAUGGACAUUAGAAGUUGCAUCAUAAAA